AUGCAGCCCAAAUCGGGCGGUAGACUCCGUCCAAGGCUAAAUACAGGCGAGAGACCGAUAGCGAACAAGUACCGCGAGGGAAAGAUGAAAAGGACUUUGAAAAGAGAGUCAAAGAGCCGGCGGCCAAAGCCCGGGGGCCCUAGGUGCCCCCGGUGGCCGUCGUCGGCACAGCCGGUACCCGCACGCCGAAAGGCGUGUCCCUCGAGGCACUGCGCUGCAACGGCCUGCGGGCUCCCCAUCCGACCCGUCUUGAAACACGGACCAAGGAGUCUGACAUGCGUGCGAGUCGAUGGGUUCUGA
rnacentral:rRNA from 1 species